ACAUCAUAAACCAAAACUUGGAUUAUAAUCAUAUGAAGAGAAGUAUUACAUUGAUAGAGUAUAUAAUAAUAGAUAUUAUAAACCAUUAUGAACAUUAAAAUAAGCUUUAUAAAGAUAUGGAUGGCAAUGAUAAACAUAAUCUCAGAUUUAAUUUGCUCAGUGAAAAUAAAGAUGUUUCUUAACGAUGGAUUCAAAUUCUUACUUGCACCUCCAACCAAAAUUAUUUUGCUCAUAAAUAAUCAACAAACUACAUCAUCAGAUUUAAUCUUCUUAUUGCUAGAUGCAUCAUAAUCGUUCCAGUUUCUAAUCAAUCUUCUUGUCAUAGUCAUUCCUGCACUUGCACUUACAACAGACGAAACACGUGUUCUUGGUGAUCAUACAAGCCUUGUAAUAAAAAAAUAGUAAUCAAACACGAGAAUUAACAAGAUUCACAAGUGAAAACAAAUACAAAUUUUUUUUGAGCAUAUACAUGACUUUUUCCUAUGUCAUUUCUUCUUGUAAUCAGAAGCAAAAUACCAAGUUUAGACAAACCCUAAAAACUCCAAACACUUGAACAAACAUUAUAUUAUUUUUCCAACUAUCACAGAUAAUCAUAAUCAACAAAGCUUUAAUAAUUAUAUGAUCACAGGACAUCAUUAUUUUAAUCCUCAAUGCUCAAAAAAUUAAGAAUCACAAUCAAAUUUUGGUUAUUACCCUAAGUUGAUUGCUUAGAAUUACUAGUAAUAACUUUAAAAGCAAAUCCAAACAGCCCUAAAUUGAUAAGUUUAGGGAAAAACAUGAGAGCAACAUUUUUUAGAAAAAAUCUAAAAACAUGUAUGCCAAUUUAGAAUUUUGGUUGAAAGCAAAUUUGAUGUACAAAAACCACAUAUAUACAAUAAAUAAAUGCCAUAACUUUACUUAUAAUAGAAAAACAUGUAUAGAAGAAGAAAACUACUUACAAAGAGGCCGAUGAGGAGUGGUGGUCUCAAAGAAACGCAUCUAAUUCCAAAUGUAGAAACUGCAAAAAAAAAAAUCAUCAAAAUUAAUGAUAUAGGACAGAAAUCAAGAGUUUGAAGGAUAGAAAAUAUAAGGUACUUGCAAUGAUAAGCCUUCCACCAGUAGAUGACAAGUAGAUGACAACUGCAACUCAUAUUCUGAUCUAUUACCAAAAGGGCAUUUACGUCUUUUUGCAUAGUAAUGAAGUAAUAUAAAGUAAUGAGUACUGACCUUGACUUGCUUAAUGAAAGAAACAGCAUUCAACAUUCCACUUCUUGAUAAUCAGACCAAAUUAAAGCGUUAUAAGAAGAGAUUUAGGGAUUUAAAACAUAAUAGGAAGAUAUAAAUCAUAAUUAGAAGAGAUAUAUCUCUGCAUCUACAGUAUUGACACUUCCCUUAUGCAUGAUUUAGAUCUUUAGCAAGCUCAUAUGUAAUCAAUACCAAUCGAAUGUAGUGAUUGCAUGUAAUCAAACCUGAAAACAAAAAGAAAUUCCUCAACAUUUUUAUAUCCCCUUCUUAAUUACAAUUGAGAACAAAUUUGUGGAAAGACUUAUCAAAAACAUCAUAGAAGAUCAACUCCUAACUUAUCAACAAGAGUGUCACCUAAUCAGCAAUCUCAAAUAAAACAUGUUUAGGGCUUACCUUUACACUCGAUUAUAGGCUUCUAAGCUCUUGUACUGUUGAGAUGAAGACCCAAAAAAAACCGAGAAAACACCAAUGGGGAUAUGGGGCUAUUUCGUGAGAAACUCAUUGAAAAAUGUUCUGAUAGGAGAAGGAAGGAGCCUAAUGGCAUCGAUCCUAGAAUUCUUAAUUCCAUCUCAACUCGAUUCGUGAUCUGACUUGGCACAUUAUCCAGAUCGACGGUUUUAUAUUGUUUUCUCCACAAAAUCGUCAGUACCUUGAUUAUGAAGAGAAGUUGUUCAUACUAUUUUCAACCAGCCAAUAGAGGAUGAACAAGGGUUAGGGGAAACACGAUCGACGAUAUGGGCUAAGGCGCGAUGUGGAGGAGCCAGGGUGGAGGGACGGAUAGGUAACGAUGACCCCAUGAGAGAAAAACGAAAUAACGAACCCUAGUGGUUUAGAUUAUGUUGGGGGUAAUGGGAAUUUGGAAACCUGAGCGGGAUGUGAGUUGAUUUUCAAUAUUCAGGAUUGACAUCUUCGAUUGUCGAUAGCAGACGUUUAGAUCGAUGGUGCAAUGGAGAACGCGAACAUUGAAGAUAAUAGAUAUUAGGUUUAAAGAGGAGGGAAUUACUAAAUCUAAAAAAUUUCACGUAGAGGGAAUCUGAAACUUUU
rnacentral:lncRNA from 1 species